rnacentral:rRNA from 1 species
GAUGAACGCUGGCGGCGUGCCUAAUACAUGCAAGUCGAGCGAACGGACGAGAAGCUUGCUUUUCUGAUGUUAGCGGCGGACGGGUGAGUAACACGUGGAUAACCUACCUAUAAGACUGGGAUAACUUCGGGAAACCGGAGCUAAUACCGGAUAAUAUUUUGAACCGCAUGGUUCAAAAGUGAAAGACGGUCUUGCUGUCACUUAUAGAUGGAUCCGCGCUGCAUUAGCUAGUUGGUAAGGUAACGGCUUACCAAGGCAACGAUGCAUAGCCGACCUGAGAGGGUGAUCGGCCACACUGGAACUGAGACACGGUCCAGACUCCUACGGGAGGCAGCAGUAGGGAAUCUUCCGCAAAGGGCGAAAGCCUGACGGAGCAACGCCGCGUGAGUGAUGAAGGUCUUCGGAUCGUAAAACUCUGUUAUUAGGGAAGAACAUAUGUGUAAGUAACUGUGCACAUCUUGACGGUACCUAAUCAGAAAGCCUCGGCUAACUACGUG